UCAUUAACCCUAACCCCUUUCUACCCAACUUGCACACACAUGUACCCCUCCCCUACCACCUGUUCAUUCUCCACUGAGCACCCUUUCUCACCGCUACUCACUCACAGCACACACCACACACCAAAUAAACAAACAUACACAGACACAUAAACAUACAUAGAGGGAGAGAGAGAUUUGAGAGUGAGAACCGAAGGGAGAAGAGGAGAGUAGGGGAAGCUGUGCCUUGCCGCCGCUGCUGUAUGCGAAGUCAUCUUCAUUACGGAUCAGAACUGAGGCGAGAGAGAGGACCGCGAUGGAGGAAGGAAUCGCGCCGCCCAGUCGCCGUCCAUGGGGAGUCGUUGCCAGCGUUGUCGCGACGAGGAGAGGAGCCCGCGUCGGAGGAGAAGAGCCGUCGCGUUCUACCACCGCUGAGGGACCAGUCGCCGUUAGAACCGUUAGUGCUGUUGUGUUCCGUCACCGCCGCCACGUCGUGACCCCGUCGUCACCACCGAAGGCUCUAGCGCUGCCGCUACUUCUAUGGCCGCCAUCAUCUGUUGCAUGUGCGAAAGGAGAGAAGAGCCUUGAGAACAAGGAAAGGAGUCAUGUGAGGCUUGUGCCGAGAGGCAGAGGGCUGUUCAGCCGCCACCGCUGCUGCCAUGAUCACCGUUGCGGUUUCAAAAAAAAGGGGGAUGCCGUCGAAGUACCUCUGAUAUGCCCCUAUAGCUAUGAUUAUUGAUAAUGUUACUGCUGUUGCUAUUGCUGAGUCUAAGCCGCUGCUGCUGUGAAUUUAGAAUAAGAGGGUUUGUCGCGUUUAAAUUCUGCGGUAUCGACUAAUUGAGGUUGCAAAACUUUUCCAAAAGAUUCAAGAAAUGGUAAAGAAGAAAGCAAUCUAGUAUUUGUUUUGAUUGGUAAGGCAGAACAAAAUUUAACUUAAUGCUAUAUGCUUGUCAUGUGCCUUGGGUUAAGUGUGUGGUCAUGCAGAUGAAGUUGAAAGCCUUGCUGCGGCGAGGAAAGCUGCUAUAUCCGGUUCAAAACCUUCAGAUUCUAUUCUGGUUGUAAAUGCAUUACUAACUCAGAUUGACAAGUUAAUAUCAUCUCCAAAUGUGAUAAUCCUAAUCACAUCCAACAUAACUAUUGCUAUUGAAAAAUUAUUAUGAAGUAGAAAAAGAACUUAAUCACACAAAUUGUGAAGAUCAAAUAUUAGAGAGUAAAAAUCACCAAUUUGUGAAGAUGAUGAGGAAUCUAUUUGCUAUUGUAAUAUAUCAAUCUCUUUUCUUUAUGAUUAGAUAUGGUUAUGACUUA